GGAAAAAACCGACUCCUUCUGGGAACAAACGUUAAAGGAAGACCUUGCCGAUAACACUGGCCUUCAGACGGCUUUCAACGCAUACGAGAAAGUACUUGAAGAAGAAUGUGCGGGGAUAGACACUCGUCUAGCAGGUCUAGAGAACAUCACCGGAAUGCAGCUGUUCUUCAUUUCGAAUGCUAGGGGUCAACGAGGCUAUGAAAAUUUUCAAAGAAUUUGCUAAGGCGUUCAACUGUUCACUUGAUUCCCCAAUGCAUCCAAACAAAACCUGCUCGUUUUGGUGAAUGAGAAUCAAAGUACAACAGCAUGAAAUAAAUAUUCUGAAAAGUUAAAUAAAUAAAUGCUAUCAUUAAGCAAG